rnacentral:lncRNA from 1 species
CCCCAAACCUCCCAGCCACACCUAACAGUUCAGCGUCAGUCAAGAGUAAAGACCCUAGAAUACAACCAUACUGUGUAAAACUCCAAACCUGCAUAAAGAACUUUCUCUUAACUAUUUCCCUUAGGAUAAGCAGAGGACUGAGAAGUGAGAGGAGUCUUAAAUGGAACACAAGAUGAAGUCGAGGAGCUCAUUGGUCACUGGCAGAGUGCAGCUGGUUGAAAACUAGCAGACAGAUCAGUUUCGGAUAGGGAACGAGCAGAUGGUAGAGCUCAUUGAAUUUCUUUCCCCAAGGACUGAAUUGAGGAAGGAGAAGAGGAAUGAGACAGAAAAGCCACUUUGUGUGGAAUAAAAGGCAGAUGAGCUGCCACUCACAUCAUCCCUGCCCUCAGCACAGGGUUAGACAACAGUGUGGACCCAGAGGGAGAAGGAACGUCAGCCCGGGAAGGGAGCGUGAGGCCUGUGCCUCUCCCUGAAGGUGUGCCAGAAGCUUGGCAAAAGAAAUCCCAUAUAGAAACAGUGGGAGCCUGGAGAUUGUCGGGGGAGAGUGAGGUCAUUGGAGAACCAUGAGUACUACUGAAGAAAGUAUAGAGCCGUGUUGAUUGGUGCCAUCUCACAUUUCUCUCUUUCACUCUCAGCUGGUGUGGCAUUUCAGUGAUGGUAUAAAGAGAAGAAAUGUGACUAAAUCAAAAAGGGAGAUGAUGAGGAUUGUCGAUGGAAGAAAAAGAGAAAGAAAGAAAGGAAGGAAGGAAUGAAGAAAAUGGAAGUGGGGUGGUCCCUCCUUGAAAAGAUGAAAGGACAAAAGCUAAAAGAGGCUCAACAAUUGUCUGAGGUCACAAUGGUGGUGAAGUGGGAGAGCCCCUAGGCAAA